rnacentral:rRNA from 1 species
UACGAAGGGGGCUAGCGUUGCUCGGAAUCACUGGGCGUAAAGCGCACGUAGGCGGCUUCUUAAGUCAGGGGUGAAAUCCUGGAGCUCAACUCCAGAACUGCCCUUGAUACUGAGGAGCUCGAGUCCGGAAGAGGUGAGUGGAACUCCGAGUGUAGAGGUGAAAUUCGUAGAUAUUCGCAAGAACACCAGUGGCGAAGGCGGCUCACUGGCCCAUUACUGACGCUGAGGCACGAAAGCGUGGGGAGCAAACAGGG